rnacentral:rRNA from 1 species
CAAUAGCGUAUAUUAAAGUUGUUGCAGUUAGAACGCUCGUAGUCGGAUUUCGGGGCGGGCCGACCGGUCUGCCGAUGGGUACGCACUGGUCGGCGCGUCCUUCCUCCCGGAGACCGUGCCUACUCUUAACUGAGCGGGGGCGGGAGACGGAUCGUUUACUUUGAAAAAAUCAGAGUGUUUCAAGCAGGCAGCUCGCUCUUGCAUGGAUUAGCAUGGGAUAAUGAAAUAGGACUUUGGUGCUAUUUUGUUGGUUUCGAACACCGAAGUAAUGAUUAACAGGGACAGUCAGGGGCACUCGUAUUCCGCCGAGAGAGGUGAAAUUCUCAGACCAGCGGAAGACGAACUACUGCGAAAGCAUUUGCCAGGGAUGUUUUCACUGA